CAUGGGCUGGGUGGCGGAGCACACAGGCUGCAAUGUGCAAGGACCGGAGUUCAAGCCCUACCCCUUCCUUUAGGAGGAGGGGCAGCUUCUCAAGUGGUGAAGCAAUGCUACAGGCGCCUUUAGUUUUUCUCACUUUCCUUUCUAAAAAUAUUAUUAUUUUAUUGUUGGAUAGAGGCGGAUAGAAACAGUGGAGAUCCUUGAGGCUAGUACUUGUGUGCUUAGUACUAUGUGUGCUUAACCAGGUGCACCACCGCCCGGCCCCACCUCUUCCAUCUGCUGCAAAUGACCAGAAGCAAUUUGGAGGCUGCUUUGGUUUUGUCACAAACCCUUCUUGAUUGGAUUAUGUUUUCCUUUGAGGAUCUCCAGCACUUUGAACCCUCAGCCACUGAGCUAUAAGGCUCUGGCUCCUGGCAGCUUGUUCAGAUCCAGAACAGAACAUAUACAUAUGCCAGGCUGAACACACUUCCUCUGCCAGUCACAUCACUGUCCCAUCCGGGGUUCUCCCUCCCUCCAGCUUGAGAGCCACUUUGAGGACCCCUGAAUCUGACUAAGGACAGAGGGAGCACUUGUCUUUCACUAGCUACCCUAUGGCCUGAGAAGAGGGUCAGAACCCAAGAGCUCAAAAAGGCUUUGAAUAUUUCACUUUUUGAAAUCUGCUCAAAUCCACUCGGGACCUAAACUCAAUUAAUAGGGUCACUGGCAGCAGUGACCUGCCCGCUUGGCUCAAUAUCCUGGAAGAAGAGUCUGGCCUGUGCUCCGUCAGGGGAUUUGAGGGCUGCUCAGGGGGGUAGAGGCACACCUGCCAAUAACAGAAAGUUUAGGAAGCCCCUGACUGGGGCUUAGGAAAAGACAGCAUCGCACAGUCAGCUUUAGAUAGCAUGGAUUUCAGAGCAGGUGACAUGUAAAUACAAAGUUUGAAAUGAACCUAAACUCUGACACCAUCCAGACAAGACUUUUAUCCCACCUGUUUGUUAGCUCAAGCAAAAAAUAAAUAAAUAAAUAAAGUCAUGGGCCCCUUGAAACACACCUAAAUAGACUUCCUAGCUACUUCCCACAUGAAGACCCCUGAUUUCAUCUGCUCUGUUCCUACCUUUGGGUCCCUGGUUAUGAAACAAUAUGUCCUGCUUUGUAUCUUACUGCUUUCCAGCCACCAAGUUGCAGAUGCUGUUAUGAUGCCAACCUGACCUCCCUGGGCAGACAACCUCACCCAUGUUUCCUGGAGCCUCCAUCCCCAGAGCCCUGCCCCACUAGGGACAGACAGACACAGGCUGGGGGUGUGGGUCCACCUGCCAACACCCAUGUCCAGCGGAGAAGCAAUGACAGAAGCCAGAACUCCCACCUUCUGCUCCCCAUAAAGAAUUUGGGUCCCUGCUCCCAGAGAGAUAAAGAACAGGGAAGCUUCCAAUGGAGGGGAGGGGACAUGGAACUCUGGGGGCGGGAAUUGUGUGGCAUUGUACCUCUGCUAUCUUACAAUCUUAUUAGUCAUUAUUAAAUCAUGAAUAAAUCUUUUUUUAAAAAUUUGAAAUGAACAUCAGGAAGAAUGAUAGUGGGGAAUGAGUGUCCUUUAAUGCUUUGUCUUGGAAGAACUAUUGCCUAUUUCUUGUGUAUUCCUCUAGAAUUAUGCCAGAAGACUACAGAUGCUUGUCUGUACAAUGAACACAGCCAGAGGCAAGCUGUACAUUCUUUCUAACUGAUGGUCCUUCUAAACCGUCAGGUACAAGUUCACAUCCCCUUGUCAGCUAGAACAUAAUGUAUACUACAUGUGUUUGCUCUCUCCUGGGGGAUGCUUCCAUUUUUGUUGUGAUAGACAACACUGUAGAGAACAUGGAAGGUUUACAUGUGUUGUCACAGACUGGAAGAUGCAUUUUUAGACUCUUUUCAUUUUGUAAAGCUGGCCAAAUUCCCUCCCCAGGAGAUCCAAGACGUCCGCAAACCCCGCCAGCAUGGUCCUGUACCGGACUAGACAGAGACACUGACACUUCAUUCGUUUGAACCAACAUCCAACACAGGAAGGAAAACACUCAAGAGGUUUACCACUUAGCAGAUCGUAACAGUUCGCAUCCUUGUAAAAUUAAAGCCCAGGCCAAGAGCUAGACCAUCAGCAGUACUGCCAACAUCUUUCCUCAUGCUACGCAGAGCAACGGACCGAAAGUCUUUCAGUUCUCGUACUAGUCACAACUUGCCCUGCGACCCAGUGGGGUACUUCCCUCACUUCUGUCAUCUGCAUUCAUCUUGGUCUUGACCUUCACAGAAAGGGGAUCGGAUCGGCCAGUGAAGUGAUGCCAAGUGUCACCUCCCUUACACUCAGCUUUCUCCAGUAAGGACUUCCAUCCUGCAGAGCUUUGAAGCUACAAUUCGACAUUCCUGCUGUCUCGUGUGUAAGGUAUCUUUCUUUGCUGGACAUAACUUAUCCAGCAGGCAUGUUACAUUUGGAAGCCACUACUCAUAAUUAUGGCUCAUCUUCUGAAGGUGUGAAUAGACUUCUCCCCGAUAUAGACUGACAGAGACUCGCCCUGCAUCCUGUGAUGUAAAGAACAAAAGCCACCUGAUCCAGAGAGCUCACGCACUGGUCUCUUGGCUUUCCUGAAUGCUUACCAUUUUAAAUAUUCAUAGGAGUUGAAGGUGGGAUAGCCCAGUGCUCGGAGCGAAGCACUCACUGAAUGUGGUCUUCAUCUCAUGACUCUAGAGGUGAACUGAAUCCUCUUAGAGACACAUUCUGGAAACAUGACUGGAUCAUGGCAGAGAAGACGCAAUGCCAAAGACGGAGUUUUCAUUCCGACAUUAAAUUUGGAAAAGCCCAAGCUGUUAUGUGUUCUGGAUGUGUCACUCGGCCUCUUCGCCGUCGACUUCCUGUGGGGACUGGAUGGGAUGCAAGACGCUGCCCAGCGCUGACAUACGGGCCUUGGCGCUGGGGGUAGCUGGCAUGUCCACACUGACCCAUCCAGACAGCUCUGGCUUCUGCAUCUGCUGGAAGAACACCACCAGGACCACGAGGAGGUGUCGCAGAGGAAGGAAUGGGCCGAUUCCGGAAGACUGGAGAGCCCGAGAAGCAGAGUUGGCAUGGAGACGUGUUGACUGCAUGGAGCUGAGAAAGGUAGAUUCAUCUCGGGUCCAAAGCUCUAUUACAAUCAAGUGUUUAAGUGGGGAAGAAAUAAAUCAAGCUCUCCACUGCCACCGAGUGAGAAAGGCCGCUGGAGCCACACGAGAACUGUAUUUCAAAUAUCUAAGGUCCAGGCAGACGUGUCCCCCAUGGAUUCCUGUCCCCACCCAGGCAGGGGUGCUCAUGUCUGGGGGCUGCCUGCACAGAGGAGAAGACGUGGAGGGAGGGAGGGAGGGAGGGAGGGCAAAGAAGGACAGCCAAGAGCCAGAAGAGCGAGUCAGGAGUGGAACAAGGAACAGAAGUGGAACACAUUUGCGUUCCAGAAAGUCAACCCAGUCAGCUCCCAAGGCUGAUGGCAUGGUUUCAACUCCUGGGCUGGAGAGAUGAAGUCAGCUGGGAGCAGUGUAAUCCUGAUAUACAAACCCCAGUCUCUGUUAAAAGAGAUAAAAAUUUAACUCUAGCACAUUGAUGACAAGUCACACAGAUAAAUAAAACCACUAGGUCAAAAUGGUUGCUAUUUACAAGAGUAAAUAAAGGAAUAUGAGUUAUCUCUCUA